rnacentral:rRNA from 1 species
CACCGCGGUUAUACGAGGGACCCAAGUUGAUAGCCUUCGGCGUAAAGAGUGGUUAAGAGCGCCUUAAACUAAAGCCAAACAACUUCAAAGCUGUUAUACGCGCAUGAAAACAUGAAACCCAAUUACGAAAGUGGCUUUAACCCCCCGCCCCCUGAUUCCACGAAAGCUGGGAUA